CCUCAGUCACACGACAGGCGGACAUGGCUACUUAUGAGUUCCCAUACCCUCUCUGUGUGGAGGUCCUGUGGGACCCCCACACUCCCAAAUUAAAAAAACAAACUAAUCAUCUACUUCCAGAGUAAGAAAUCCGAUGGAGGCGACUGUGAGGUGGAAUAUAGUGUUUCUGGCGGACAGACAGCAACUGUUCGAUUCAAAUCAAAGGAAGUGAGACAGCGGGUUCUGAACAAACAAACACGAGCUCAAGAUUGGUCAAAAAACAGUGAAAAUGACUGAGUCUUCCGCCAUCAGAUGCCUCAGUUCCUCAGGAAUCAACUUCUUUGGUCAGCACAAUCACAGCGAG